rnacentral:misc_RNA from 1 species
GAUGAAGAACGCAGCGAAAUGCGAUACGUAAUGUGAAUUGCAGAAUUCAGUGAAUCAUCGAGUCUUUGAACGCACAUUGCGCCCUCUGGUAUUCCGGGGGGCAUGCCUGUUCGAGCGUCAUUAUAACCACUCAAGCUCUCGCUUGGUAUUGGGGUUCGCGGUUUCGCGGCCCCUAAAAUCAGUGGCGGUGCCUGUCGGCUCUACGCGUAGUAAUACUUCUCGCGAUUGAGUUCGAUAGGUCUACUUGCCAGUAACCCCCAAUUUUUACAGGUUGACCUCGGAUCAGGUAGGGAUACCCGCUGAACUUAAGCAUAUCAAUAAGCGGAGGA